rnacentral:rRNA from 1 species
UAGAAAGACCUUUUUAAAAUGAACAGACCUUCGAGCCCGAUCCCGUCUGAUUUCGGAAACUAAGCAGGUUCGAGCCUGGUUAGUACUUCGAUAGGAGACCACCUAGGAAAACCAGGUGCUGC